rnacentral:sRNA from 1 species
GGGAGAGCAACGCAGCUGUGAGCUGGCUAUGCCCACUGGAAGGGCCAAGUGCUGAAUUCAGAUGAGCUCCAGGAGUUGUAUGAAGGCCUGAGGCUGAACAACAUGAAUAAAUAUGACUACGUGCUCACAGGUUAUACGAGGGACAAGUCGUUCCUGGCCAUGGUGGUGGACAUUGUACAGGAGCUGAAGCAGCAGAACCCCAGGCUGGUGUACGUGUGUGAUCCAGUCUUGGGUGACAAGUGGGAUGGCGAAGGCUCGAUGUACGUCCCGGAGGACCUCCUUCCCGUCUACAAAGAAAAAGUGGUGCCGCUUGCAGACAUUAUCACGCCCAACCAGUUUGAGGCCGAGUUACUGACUGGCCAGAAGAUCCACAGCCAGGAGGAAGCCUUGCGGGUGAUGGACAUGCUGCACUCUAUGGGCCCCGACACCGUGGUCAUCACCAGCUCCAACCUGCCCUCCCCGCAGGGCAGCGACUACCUGAUCGUGCUGGGGAGCCAGAGGAGGAGGAAUCCCGCUGGCUCCGUGGUGAUGGAACGUAUCCGGAUGGACAUUCGCAAGGUGGAUGCCGUCUUUGUGG